GAGUUCUUCCUCUCACUGAUUGGAAUAGCGCUGAGGGUUUUUAAGGAGAAGGUGUCAAGUAAGGGGGAUUCCAGUCAAGUGUUGUGCACUGUGGGGAAGAUUUCAGCAAGGAGGUUUUGCUGUGGUAUACCUUGUUUCCAGCAACAGUUACUUCGUCCAACAGUAACUUUCCUGGCCUAUGG